UAUCUCUGUAGAGUCUGCAUAUCAAUAAGCGGAGGAAAAGAAACUAACAAGGAUUCCCUUAGUAACGGCGAGUGAAGCGGGAAGAGCUCAAAUUUGAAAUCUUCAAGGUUCUACCUUGACGAAUUGUAGUUUAAAGAAGUGUUUUCUGUUAGAUGAGUAGCAAAAGUUCCUUGGAAUGGGACAUCAUAGAGGGUGAGAAUCCCGUAUUUGGUUAUUCAUUCUAGCUUUGUGAUACACUUUCAAAGAGUCGGAUUGUUUGGGAAUGCAGUCCAAAAUGGGCGGUAAAUUUCAUCUAAAGCUAAAUAUUGGCGAGAGACCGAUAGCGAACAAGUACCGUGAGGGAAAGAUGAAAAGAACUUUGAAAAGAGAGUUAAACAGUACGUGAAAUUGUCAAAAGGGAAGCGUUUGACACCAGUGUUGUUUUUCCGAAAAUCAAUUACGAAUGGCUUGAUUUUGUGUUGUAUUGACCUUAUCAGCUUUCUGCACUUUUUUCGAGUCUUUCUUAAUGCACUUUUCGGUUAACAAGUCAACAUCAAUUUCUUUUGUUGUAAAAGAGUAUUCGGAAGGUGGCUUUCUUUUCGGAGAAAGUGUUUAUAGCCCUAUACUCCUACAAUCGGAGAGAUUGAGGUCUGCAGCGUAGAUCCUUCGGGGUUAGAUACACUUGUGCUAAGUUGUAGCUUUUCAUAGACAACUUGUUGACUAUGUUUAGUCAUGCGGCUUACUCGCUUGUGCUAUUUUACCUACGCUUAGGAUGUUGACUGAUAUGUAGUCGUA
rnacentral:rRNA from 1 species